rnacentral:tRNA from 1 species
UAAAAAUUAUUUAAAGAAGAAACUUCAUUUGCAAAAUGAAAAAAAAUCUCUUUUGU